GGAGGGAUGGCCGAGCGGUCGAAGGCGGCGGUCUUGAAAACCGUUAACCGAAAGGUUCGCGGGUUCGAAUCCUGCUCCCUCCGCCA
rnacentral:tRNA from 1 species